UCGAACGUGGUGUAGGGCAUAUCGUGAGGCUCUCUAGCACGGUAAUGAAAAUCAGUGUACAGCUCGCAGAACGGGGUUCGACUCCCCGCGUUCGAA